GAGGGGUAGCGAAGUGGCUAAACGCGGCGGACUGUAAAUCCGCUCCUUCGGGUUCGGCAGUUCGAAUCU
rnacentral:tRNA from 1 species